rnacentral:rRNA from 1 species
AACCUCCCGGGCCACCCGGCCUGCGGCGGAAUGUUGCGUAAAGGGAAAGGUCGUAGUCAAACCCCACAGCCACGCGAACUCUAAGUCAGCCACGAAUAGGCUAUCCCAACUAACGGCGGGAAAGACUCCACGGAGGGUGUAAGACCCGUGUGGGCGCGUGUCAAAGCUGUGCGGGCUCGGCCUCUUUUCCCUGAGAGUCGCGUUGCUUGAGCAUGCAGCGCUAAGCAGGUCGUAAACUCGAUCUAAGGCUAAAUAUCUCCACAGAACCGAUAGCGAACAAGUACCGUGAGGGAAAGUUGAAAAGCACUCUGGAGAGAGAGUCAAAAGACCGUGAAACCGCUCAGAGUAUAAGCCCAUGGCAGCUUGGAAGGCAUAUCGCUAGCGGGGCAUCGGUCUCCCUUCACGGGGAGCUGGUGUUACCUUGCUUCUGUUGUGGCUCGUUAUGGUAGGGGGGUCAAGUCCACAUCCCGCCGUCGUGUGGGGAGUUCUUGGGCGUGUCGUUGCUUUGCGGUUGACUUCGGUUGGCCGUAGGGCUCUUCGCGCUUGGUUCUCCUUUGGACACGGACGUUCAAACUCAGUUGCAAGACGCGAUAACCAGCCCACCACGGCACGUUGUGAGGUCACCCACAGGCUUGGCUUUCGAUUGUGGUCCUUGACGC